GGAUGUGAGGAUAAUAGAGCUAUGACAUCUGUCCCCCACUGAUCAGUAGGGUUGAUGAGGCUGAUCAGGCAGACUAGGUGGGUGUCUCUUUCCUCCCUCGCCACUCUAUGCAGGUUCCUCCAGAAGCUGCAUGCUCCAUUGAAGAGGAUCCUGUCCUUGGACAAGAGUAUAGGAGUAGCUGUGCUACCCUGCUAGGGCCUCCAAGCAAGUUUUCAAGCCAGAUAAUAAAUGUAUAAAAACAGGAAUUUAAAAAUUUAAAAAUUGUCCUCAUUAUCAAGAGCCAUGCAAAAAUUGAGCAAUUACUU
rnacentral:snRNA from 1 species